rnacentral:rRNA from 1 species
UACAGAGGUCUCAAGCGUUGUUCGGAUUCAUUGGGCGUAAAGGGUGCGUAGGCGGCGCGGUAAGUCGGGUGCGAAAUCUCGGAGCUUAACUUCGAAACUGCAUUCGAUACUGCCGUGCUUGAGGACUGGAGAGGAGACUGGAAUUUACGGUGUAGCGGUGAAAUGCGUAGAUAUCGUAAGGAAGACCAGUGGCGAAGGCGGGUCUCUGGACAGUUCCUGACGCUGAGGCACGAAGGCCAGGGGAGCAAACGGG